AGCAACGUUGUUUGGUGGGUGUGCACAUUGACUCUAACUGAUGAUGUCAUCAGACACGGCCGCCGGACGGGUGCGUGGUCCCGCUCCCGGAGCUGGCAUCCUUCACUGGGGUGUUCUCUACGGUAUAAAGCUUUUAUUUUUUUUCACCCCUAAUUUGACAGAGCACCCCAAAUCAGUCCCAGCCCCUUGAUGGACAACAUUGCAGCACCCCUGGAUGGGCAACUCUGCAGCACCCAUGAACGGACACAGCACAGACACGUCUGCACUAUACAAGCUCUACUGCCGGAGUGAAAUGGCACCUAUCAAAGGGGGCCUCAUAUAGAAUCCAAAACCCGCGAAAAUCCGACAGCAGGAGGAUGACAUUUUGCCUCAUUAGGGAUCUGAGUCAGGCAGGAAAACCUGACCCAGACUCAGAUCCCGACUCAGAUCGUGAAAUUCCGGUGGGUCCGGUUCUCAGAGAAUCGGAGCCGCUCAUCUCUAAUUAUAUGUAAGGGGCAUUACUACUGUAGGCAUUAUAUGUACAAGGGACACUACUGUGCGGCGCAACGUGAAUAAGGAACACUACAGUGUGACAUUAUGUGUAUAAAGGACACUACUAUGUGGUGUAAUAUGAAUCGGGACACUACAUGCAGUGUAAUAUAAAUAAUAUUGUGCUACAGUAUGGUGGAAUUUGAAAUUGGGUACUAUUGUUUGUCCACACCCCGUCCUUGUGAAAACACACCUGUUUUGUGGCAUACCUUUGACAAGCGCUGUUAUUUUGUUAAGCAUGGGAGGUAAGGCAUAAAGUUAUAGUUUGGGGGAAUGGGGGGGUGGGGGCGGGAUGGGUGCCGAAUUUGCUGGGCUAUAAGAAACUGUUAAUAAAUAAAUAAUUGAAGACAGACCUUUUCUAACCAAAGGUAUAUGCAUGCUGUGCCUUCAGAAGCACAGUGACUUAUUAACAUUUGUGGAUAGCACUUAAUGUAUUACACACAGGGAUUUUAUUACACAGUUAUCCAGGAUUAAUGUUCUGUAUUGCAACACUAGUGCUUCACAUUGCUCUGGUCUCAAUGUGAUUUUUAAUGAAAGGUUUUCUGUCCUUAAUCUACCUAACCAUAUGUUUUGCUAAUCACUUUUUCAAGGGGACUUUGCUGAUAUUUUGAUAUAUUGCAAACAACACUUCUUUGUCCUUAAGCUAGUGCUGUUAUUUUUAGUAGGACCCAGCACCCAUAAUAAAUAAUUGCAUUUAUCUUUGCAA